rnacentral:lncRNA from 1 species
GGGGCUCUUUCUUCUCACCACCAACCAAUGUGAAAAGCCUCAAAAGGACAAGAAGCAGAAUCAGAUAAAUGAAGGGGCUCAUCUGUAGGACACAGACUGAGAGGUUUCAUUUAAUUUCUGCUUACAGUUCAUCAUGAAGUUCAUUUUACAGAUGAAGAACUGAAACAAACCAGGUGAAUUGAUUUUUCCAGGGUCACGUAGCUAGUAAUGGC